UCGUGAGCACCAUUCGAUGCGACGAGGGGAGCGGUGGAAAAUAGAGCUUCGUCGGCGGGCUUCUGGUUUAUCGAUUUGAUCUCUGGUUCAUCAUCAAUCUAAAAAAAUCAUGAUAUCCAGUAGCAGCGUGGGAUUAAAGGGCUUGGUUGGAAGGUAAGUUGCUGGUAAGUUAGGGGUAUCCCAUAUGAUAGGUUUGACGCUUCUUGCCUAAUAGAUAACCACCUCCAUAAGCCCUUUUACAUGCAGUACUGUCUUGUAGCACAAAUUUAAUAGUAGGUACAAUCAUGAUAAGUUGACAACCGCUAGGUCAUGUAUUUAUAAACAAAUCUUUCCCACCGUCAUGUCACAUAUUUUUAUGCAGCCCUACUAAUUUAUUAAAAAUGUGAUAUCUUCUAGGUCAAAUAAUUUGUUUUAAUCUGUUCAAGUUGUGUUAGGUUCAUAUUAAUUUUUGCGUACAUAGUAAUAACAUUGUUUUAAUUAUGCCACAUUGUUUUAAUUAUGCCACAUGUUUUAAUUAAUUACUUAAUGUUAAUUAGCUUGAUAAUCUAGUUAAUCUAAUUUAUAGUUCUAACCUACGCAUUUUAUAAAUAAUUGUUAAUAUUAAUACCAAAUCAAAUAUUUUAAUUUAAUACCUGCUUAGUUUAAAUGCAAUAUCUAUUAGAUCCCAUCUAUUAGAUUUAUUACGCCUAAAAUAUCGUUUAUUCAUAAAUUCUUCGUUUUAGCUCCAAUUUUAAUGGUUCUUGAACCUACGAUCUUAUAGCGACGCGUAGGAUUUUCUUACAUUGUUUGUUCAUAUGCUUUGGUGUAAUGUUACCGUACCCAAUAUUUGCUUGAUUGUAUGUAUUGCUAUGCAUAGAAGCGAGGUGACGAAAAAUCUAAAGACCAACUUGGUGAAAUACCUGGAAUCUCAAGUAUAAGGCAAGUUGUGCCCUUGAUCACUCCUUUUUACCUAAUAAUGUUCGUUGUUAAUCACUGUGACAUGCAUCAGGUUAAUUUGAUGGGACCUAAUAGGUUUCCCUAGCAUUGUUUAUUCCCCACCUUGCAAGUAGAUGAAUUAUUGGGUAGUUUUGCUAUUGCUCUACUUGGUUUUGGGAAACUAAUGUUUCAUUAUGAUCAUGUUCCAAUUAUGUUGUUGUUUAAUUAUUGUUCAUGAUAAGAUCAUAUUGUUAAUUGUAACAUGGAACGACCACCCGGGAAAACAGUGCUACCACAAGGGUGGUAUGGGACACCCUUGGCUGACUAAUUAGGAAAGCUAGUGGAGGACUACCUUACCCGAAAGGGGCAAGGGCAGAAGGGGAGUGGUUGGUGUAGGGAGGUUCUCGGGCUGAUUUUGCUGUGAUGGCGGUCAGACGAGGGAUCCCUGCAUUGGGACUUCCUAAAACUGUAGCGGGUUUUCUGAAGCUAGUGGAACUUUGUAAAGGCCUCGUACUGGUACCCUGCCUCGCUUCCUUGGUAGAGGUCUAUGGGGUGUGAUCCACUCCGUGGCAAAUGGGUAACACGACUUGUGGGUAAAGAUGUGCAACCUCUGCAGAGUGUAAAACUGGUAUAUCAGCCGUGCUCACGAUCAUGAGCAGCUCGGACCCUCACAUGAUAAAUUUAUGGAACUAAACUCAAUUUGUCAUAUGCAUUGCAUCACGGGUGUUGUUAUUAAUCUUGAUCUCUUACUUAAUUGGUUUGGUAUCUACUUACACUUAGUAACUGCUAAUAAAAUUUUGACUAACUUUAAAAGCAAUGCUCAGCUUUAGCCAUCCUCUUUGGUAAGCCUUACACUUCACAUGAGCUCCCACCUUUGGCGAGUUCAUGCACAUUAUUCCCCACAAGUUGAGCGAUGAACGUAUGUGAGCUCACCCUUGUUGUCUCACACCCCCCACAGGUCAAGAACAGGUACCGCAGGAUGAGACGCAUGGAGGAUGCUGUGGUGAGUUCGUGAGAGGUCUAGGUCGUCGUCUCCCAGUCAACUUUGGGUUGUUGGAUCGUUAUCUCCUUAUGAUUUAAUUAUUUAUUUAUUUUGUAUAUAACUCCUAUUAUAUAGUAAAGAUGUGGCAUUCAUUUUUGUACCAUAAUUCAUCAUAUGUGUGAGACUUGGUCCCAGCACACCUGGUGAUUAUGUUCGCGCCCGGGUCUUGGUGCCCCCGAAACCCGGGUGUGAUAGCAUGCCAAGGCGGGGGCCCUGGCCGCGAACCGGGGUUCUGUGACACCCCAGUGUCACCUAGGGUUUCUUCUUAGAGCUGACUCAAAACCAUUAUCACAUGUGAACCAAAUUGAGGAAAGGACAUAAAAAAUUAAGAACAAAGGUUUAAGUAAGUCUUUUUCAUCUUAAGAAAUUUUCCUUAAACAUGCCAUGCACCUCAAGGUAAGAAGAAUUCAUAAACCCUAAAUAAUCCUAAGUAAGCCAUUUAAAUGCAAAUAGGGAAAACUUGUAAAACGAUUGUGAAAAAUACAAAAUUUUGAGAUGAACCAAUUGACAAAGUUUUAGUGCACUAAAUGACCUACAAAAUACAGUAAGAAAGUUUGGCCAUUUGAAUUUUCCAAAAUCCCCAAAUCAGCCCAUGAACUAAGGCACUAUGGGAAAAUUCAGCCCAUGAAUUUCAGAACCCUUUCCCAAAGUUCAUAUGUGUUCCCUGUCUUCCAAAGCUCGAAUCCAUAAAGUCCAAAUAUCAAAGUGGCGCAAAAAUACCCUAGGAACACUCUGGAGAAGGUUGAAAUCAAACCAAAAUCGUUUGACACGAUUUGACAUAGGUUUUGUCUCGGUUUGGACAGUGCUGACAGAGUUAUCUUCACGCCACAAUAUCUUCUCACCCAGGCCAUAUCUUCACUCGGGACUCACACACGACAGGAAGACCUUGGCACGGUGAAGAGACGCUACACAGGAUCCUUGGCAAGGUAUGCACGUUUAGGUCGGCCAACAGGCGUUUGAACUCGGGCAGAAUCACACUUCCACGUGUUCGAUCGCGUGCUCAAGCGCUCAGCCGCGCACUGGCUGCCCUGUGCGCGCGCCACGCACGGUCGACUCCUGUCCCCCGCGCUUGCGCCUAGCCAUGCCCGAGGGCGCCUAUAAGUACCUCGGGUGCACAACAGUCUGCUCUUCACUCCGCCUCACGCCCCGAGCAAAAACUCCAACCCCGGCAAGCUCUCCACCGCUCGCCAUCUCUGCCCGAGCGCGACCACCGUGGCCAGCCCUUCAAGACGACCCCAAGCCUCGCCCUAGCCCCUGGACUACUUCCCCGUGAAGCGGUAAAGCUUUCCCAAGCUUGAGCCAAGGCAUUGCCUCACCAGAGAAGCAGAAUCGCCCUCGCCGGACUUCGGUCACUCGCCACCGCUCGUGAACCGAGCUAUCUGGUGAGCCAUUUUUAAAUUCCUCGUGCAUAUGUCUUCCCUGACCUAUGGUGAAGCUCUCUGACCCGUUCAAUUGAACUAUACCUCCCUGGUUAGGCCGGAGCCCUCGCUGCCGACGAGCUCCCCCGCCUGCGCGCGUGGACCGACCUACUCCGACCACCACCAACGACGAUCGGCACCUCGAUGUGAUCGCCAGAGACCCCCGGACCUCGCCUGACCCUUCACCGGAGCAACCUCGCCGCCGGUAAGCCCCUCCGCCCUUUUCUUUCGCCGCGGUCACUGUUCCAUAAGGGGAAGGAUCGCGGGUUUGAUUUAUCAGAAACCUAGGGGGUUUUCUGCAGAGUCAUAGACUCAGGUGAAUAGUAAACCGAGGACCUGUUUGUAAUACACAUAGAACCUUUCGCCAGGGACCCAGAUGCAAAACCAUUUUCCUUUAAACCAUUUCUGUUUAUUCCUUUUAAAUUAAGCAGAGAACUUAGGAAAUUUGUAUCUUGAGAAAUGUUCAACCAAAUUUAGUCAAACCAAUUUUACUGGAUUCAAAAUAUUGUGAACUAUCAGAUAAAAAUACUAAACCUUGUGCUUUCUGUACUAAAUUUUAGAGUUUGGAAUUAAUUAAGGAAACUGCACAGGCCUUAUUAAAAUGACGAAAAAUAGUUAUGCUUAUGUGCUGGACUUAAGAAAAUUUGUAGAAGUCCAAACCCAACAUAGACACUGUUUAAAAAUAUUAGGCACCCCAGUAUUAAAGAUUUAAACAGGGUUAUCUAUUAAAAGACAUAAUUGCCCAAAACUUAGGAAAAUAAGAAAGGCACUAGAAAAUAAUAAACAGUGGAUGAAAAUAUUUUUCCUAGUCCACUUAAGUAAUGAAGAACCUAGGAAGAAUAAAAGGAACCCUAGUCCAGAACAAAUUCAAGGUGAAAUGUUUUAUUAGGCACUAAUAAAACUAUAAAGGCCAUUAUUAAAAAUAUAAGAACAAUUUCAAAAUUGGUAAGAAAAAUUCAGUAGACCCCUAACCACUAGGACACCACUACAAAAAUGAUAAACACCCCAACCCAUCAUCUUAAGUGGGUUGAACAAAUAAAACUUGAUAUUGAGCCAUAUUCCAAUUAAAUCAUAAGUAAGCAAAAAUAUGUGCAACAAUGGGCAAAUAAAUUUUUACCAGAUUAUUAAUGAAGUAGGCCACCAGAGAAAAAUGCAAAACCUAUUCAAAACUACAAAAUAACACCCAUUACCCCUACUUCAUGAAAAGGCCAUUUAAUUCAACAAAUUCCUACCACUCUUCCCUUAAGCAAAAAGUUACCAAAUUCUAGAAUGAUUGCUCUUGCGCAAAGAGGAAGAUAGAAAAAAAUUAGAAAUCUGUUGUUUGAUAUAUUUCAAGUAUAGUGGUAGUAGAAAUCACCCCUUCGGCUAGAAACUUUAGAAAAUCAUAGAAAAAUAACUACUAAGUAUUAGUAGCUGAAAAUUUCUACAAAACCAUGUUAUGACCUCUAGAUGCCAGAAAAAAUAAGUCUUAGAGAAUAACCCAAUGUUAAAAGGAAGUUGUAGUUCAAAACACCCCCCUUUGCCCUAACACUUGAUAAUUUGGUACAGAGAGAACCCCUCACUUUUUAAACCCCAAAUUUUAAGACAGAGUUAUACACCAGUGAGAAGCCACUGUAAUUUUGGCAGAAUUUUUGAAAAUUUAUUAAGCUAUCUUGUAGUUCAAACCCACCUUAAAGGUAUAAAAGAAAUAGAAAAGACAAGAUGGAUUAGAAAGAUUAAUAAGUAUCACCCCAAUAUUGCAGCUAAGAAUAUUGUUAAAAAUAUUCAUAAGAUAUAAAGAGGAAAAUCAGUAGAACACUAAAAAUGGGUUAACCAUUCAGUAAUCAAACUUGACCCAAACUUCCUGAAAUACACCCCAAAAGUCUCUAAUAACCAGACUUAGCCCUAUUUCCUUUUAAUUCAUCUUUCACCAUGCAAUCUCAGUACUAAAUUGCAUAUCAUGCCAUACAUGCAUCUUACUCAUUGCAUUCCUUAGAUUGCAACCUCGCUGACGGAGAGUACGUGCUCAUCCCUGAGCAAGGAGCUAUC
rnacentral:lncRNA from 1 species